GACGAACGCUGGCGGCGUGCUUAACACAUGCAAGUCGAGCGGAAAGGCCCUUCGGGUACUCGAGCGGCGAACGGGUGAGUAACACGUGAGUAACCUGCCCCAGACUUUGGGAUAACCCUCGGAAACGGGGGCUAAUACCGAUAUUACCUGCUUCCGCAUGGUUGUUGGUGGAAAGUUUUUCGGUUUGGGAUGGACUCGCGGCCUAUCAGCUUGUUGGUGGGGUAAUGGCCUACCAAGGCGACGACGGGUAGCCGGCCUGAGAGGGCGACCGGCCACACUGGGACUGAGACACGGCCCAGACUCCUACGGGAGGCAGCAGUGGGGAUAUUGCACAAUGGGCGGAAGCCUGAUGCAGCGACGCCGCGUGAGGGAUGACGGCCUU
rnacentral:rRNA from 1 species